GUUAUAGGGUCAAGCGAAUAAGUGCAUGUGGUGGAUGCCUUGGCGAUCACAGGCGAUGAAGGACGUUGCAGCGUGCGAAAAGCCACGGGGAGCUCGCAAACAAGCUUUGAUCCGUGGAUGUCCGAAUGGGGAAACCCGGCCCGCAAGGGUCACUCCCACCUGAAUACAUAGGGUGGGUAGAGCGAACCCGGUGAACUGAAACAUCUAAGUAGCCGGAGGAACAGAAAUCAACCGAGAUUCCGAAAGUAGUGGCGAGCGAAAUCGGAAGAGCCUGCACAAUUUAGCCAUUACGCUAGCAGAGCGGUCUGGAAAGACCGGCCAUAGUGGGUGAUAGCCCCGUAUGCGAAAGCCUGGUGGUGGAACUGAGUGUGCGACAAGUAGGGCGGGACACGUGAAAUCCUGUCUGAAGAUGGGGGGACCAUCCUCCAAGGCUAAAUACUCGUGAUCGACCGAUAGUGAACCAGUACCGUGAGGGAAAGGCGAAAAGAACCCCGGGAGGGGAGUGAAAUAGAUCCUGAAACCGCAUGCAUACAAACAGUGGGAGCCCCUGCUUCAAGCGCCUUCGAAGUUCUUUCGAGGCGCAUCGCGUAGCGAUGCGACUCAAAAGUAUUAAGAAGGAGUGAAACGGAUGUCAUAUCCGUUUCGAGGUGGGGGGUGACUGACGAUUCGAGCGUAAGCGAGAAGCGUCGGGCAGCCCUGCGAGAACACCCGGAGGGUGUUUGAAGCAGGGGUGACUGCGUACCUUUUGUAUAAUGGGUCAGCGACUUACAUUCAGUGGCGAGCUUAACCGCAUAGGGGAGGCGUAGCGAAAGCGAGUCCGAACAGGGCGAUUCAGUCGCUGGGUGUAGACCCGAAACCAGAUGAUCUACCCAUGGCCAGGAUGAAGGUUGGGUAACACCAGCUGGAGGUCCGAACCCACUACCGUUGAAAAGGUAGGGGAUGAGCUGUGGGUAGGGGUGAAAGGCCAAACAAAUCUGGAGAUAGCUGGUUCUCUCCGAAAGCUAUUUAGGUAGCGCGUCGUGUAUCACUUCUGGGGGUAGAGCACUGUAAUGGUUGUGGGGGUCAUUGCGACUUACCGCGCCAUAGCAAACUCCGAAUACCGGAAAGUGCGAGCACGGCAGACAGACUUGGGGUGCUAACGUCCUGAGUCGAGAGGGAAACAACCCAGACCGCCGAUUAAGGUCCCGAAGACACAGUUAAGUGGGAAACGAGGUGGGAAGGCUUAGACAGCCAGGAGGUUGGCUUAGAAGCAGCCAUCCUUUAAAGAAAGCGUAAUAGCUCACUGGUCGAGUCGUCCUGCGCGGAAAAUGUAACGGGGCUCAAACUGUGCACCGAAAUCGCGGAUAUGUACUUGUACAUAUGGUAGGAGAGCGUUCCGUAGGCCGUUGAAGGUGGGGUGUGAACCCUGCUGGAGGUAUCGGAAGUGCGAAUGCUGACAUGAGUAGCGAUAAAGCGGGUGAAAGGCCCGCUCGCCGAAAGCCCAAGGUUUCCUGCGCAACGUUCAUCGGCGCAGGGUGAGUCGGCUCCUAAGGCGAGGCCGAAAGGCGUAGUCGAUGGGAAACAGGUUAAUAGUCCUGUACCUUUAUGCAAUGCGAUGGGGGGACGGAGAAGGUUAGGUGGGCCGGGUGUUGGACGUCCUGGUUCAAGCGUGUAGGCGUGCCCGAUAGGCAAAUCCGUUGGGCUUAGCCGAGGCGUGAUGACGCAAGACUCUUUUGAGUCCCAAGCCACUGAGACCCCGCUUCCAGGAAAAGCCUCUAAGCUUCAGUUGCAUGAAGACCGUACCGCAAACCGACACAGGUGGGCAGGAUGAAGAUUCUAAGGCGCUUGAGAGAACUCAGGAGAAGGAACUCGGCAAAUUAGCACCGUAACUUCGGGAGAAGGUGCGCCCCGGUAGUGUGUAGCGGCUUGCCCGUGAAGCGCGAUGGGGUUGCAGUGAAUUGGUGGCUGCGACUGUUUAAUAAAAACACAGCACUCUGCAAAGGCGAAAGCCGACGUAUAGGGUGUGACGCCUGCCCGGUGCCGGAAGGUUAAGUGAUGGGGUGCAAGCUCUUGAUCGAAGCCCCGGUAAACGGCGGCCGUAACUAUAACGGUCCUAAGGUAGCGAAAUUCCUUGUCGGGUAAGUUCCGACCUGCACGAAUGGCGUAACGAUGGCCACACUGUCUCCUCCUGAGACUCAGCGAAGUUGAAGUGUUUGUGAAGAUGCAAUCUACCCGCGGCUAGACGGAAAGACCCCAUGCACCUUUACUGUAGCUUUGCAUUGGACUUUGAUGAGACUUGUGUAGGAUAGGUGGGAGGCUUUGAAGGCGGGAUGCUAGUUCCGCUGGAGCCGUCCUUGAAAUACCACCCUGGUGUCAUUGAGGUUCUAACCUGGAUCCAUUAUCUGGAUCGGGGACCGUGCAUGGUAGGCAGUUUGACUGGGGCGGUCUCCUCCCAAAGGGUAACGGAGGAGUACGAAGGUCUUCUAGGUACGGUCGGACAUCGUACUGAUAGUGCAAUGGCAAAAGCGGGCUUGACUGCGAGACCGACAAGUCGAGCAGGUGCGAAAGCAGGUCAUAGUGAUCCGGUGGUUCUGUAUGGAAGGGCCAUCGCUCAACGGAUAAAAGGUACGCUGGGGAUAACAGGCUGAUGACUCCCAAGAGUUCAUAUCGACGGAGUCGUUUGGCACCUCGAUGUCGGCUCAUCACAUCCUGGGGCUGUAGCCGGUCCCAAGGGUAUGGCUGUUCGCCAUUUAAAGUGGUACGUGAGCUGGGUUUAAAACGUCGUGAGACAGUUUGGUCCCUAUCUGCAGUGGGCGUUGGAGAUUUGACGGGGGCUGCUCCUAGUACGAGAGGACCGGAGUGGACGCACCUCUGGUGUACCGGUUGUGACGCCAGUCGCAUCGCCGGGUAGCUAUGUGCGGAAGAGAUAACCGCUGAAAGCAUCUAAGCGGGAAACUUGCCUGAAGAUGAGAUCUCCCGGAGGCUUGACCUCCCUGAAGGGUCGUGGAAGACCACCACGUUGAUAGGCCGGGUGUGGAAGCGCAGUAAUGCGUUAAGCUAACCGGUACUAAUUGCCCGUGCGGCUUGAUCCUAUAACCUUA
rnacentral:rRNA from 1 species